UACAGAGGUCCCGAGCGUUGUUCGGAUUCAUUGGGCGUAAAGGGUGCGUAGGCGGCGCGGUAAGUCGGGUGUGAAAUCUCGGAGCUUAACUCCGAAACUGCAUUCGAUACUGCCGUGCUUGAGGACUGGAGAGGAGACUGGAAUUCCUGGUGUAGCGGUGAAAUGCGCAGAUAUCAGGAAGAACACCCGUGGCGGAAGGCGGCUCUCUGGGACGGUACUGGACGCUGAGACGCGAAAGCGUGGGGAGCGAACAGG
rnacentral:rRNA from 1 species